GUGCCCGUAGCUCAAUGGAUAGAGUGACAGAUUCCGAUUCUGGCGGUUGGAGGUUCGAGUCCUCUCGGGCGCGCCA
rnacentral:tRNA from 2 species